CCGUAAUAAACUGGACUACAUGCUUAUCUCCCACCUCCUCCACUAUCUGAUCAUAUAGUCGUACGUAGAAGUUUGCAUCCUUCUUCGUCCCUGAUACGUCUUUGCUAGACAAAAAAGCUGUACCUUUUGGGGAAUAGGCCAAGAAGUUUAAAAACUCCUUUUUGCUAACUUUAUUCAACCAACCAUCACUCAUGAGAGUAAUUCCUGUCCUUGGCCAACUCUGUUUAUAUUCUUCAAUCCACUUUUUAACUUCCUCUACCUCUU
rnacentral:lncRNA from 1 species